rnacentral:lncRNA from 1 species
AUAACAACCGCGACAGACAGGACGAGCCCCUGGUCCAGCAUGAUCUCGGAAACAGGGCAGGUGGCUGGGCAGCAUCCUCUGGAGUCCAGGCCUGAAGAUCAGCACUCUAUAGAUACAGGUUGUUUCCAAAGAGGGAACAGCAGCACCUUGUCCAGCAUGCUGCAAGGGGACAGCCAGAGCGUGCUCAGCACCCUGAGCCCACCCAUGAGCCCUUACACAGGUGGGAACAGUCCCUGGGGAGCAGCAGGAGACUUCCAGACCUUCAACACCAGCACAGAAACAGCAGAGAAGGAGCCACUUUGGCCAGUUGAAGGGAGCCUCUGGAACAGAGUACUGAACACUGAACCCAUAAAGAAAAGUGUGGAGUUCCAUGCAGGCUCCAAGGAACUGCUGCCAUCUCCGGGAGACAUGGGUUUGACCAAUCAAAAAACUACUGAGAGAGAGGAGGAGGAGGAGGAAAAUGCUGAGGUUGUAAAUGGAGAUCAUCAAGGCAAGGAAGGAAGUGGUUCUGAUGAGAACUGUGUUCAGAGUGUAUCAGCCCAAGCUGGCUCAGAAAGAAAUAGUGAGAGCUUCCCUGAUGACGGCAGUGAAGACCCAGUGGAAAGCUCAGAAAACCUCAUCAAACAAAAAAUCACUUUGUCUGAUCCUGUUGUUAUUCCCAACUUCUUCCUUCCACCUGAGGAGAUGGAAGCCUCCAUGAGACUGCUCUGCACUUCUUUUCACCCUUCCAUAUCUCCAAAAGAGUGGAGCAGUGCCUGGAGGAAUCCCAUACCGAAGAGCAAAUCGUCCCAGGCCCAGCCCUGAGCUCUUGGAAGAGGAAGCCAAAAGAAUUGCCAGGAUCUUCUCUGCUCAGCUCUCCAAGAAGGAAUAGUGUUGGCCAGAGACCUUCCACAGCUGAGUUUCCUAAGCCAGGGCCAGCUGCAUUGGCAAAAAAAGAGCCUCCCAGUAAAGCGGAGGUGGAAGCCACAGCUUUCAGGCUCUGGUUUUAGUUUGCCUAAUUGGUUAGUUAAUUGAAGUCCCCUAUUUAGAAGGGCUUAAAGCCUGUGGUCACCCACAGCGAGUUACGUCGUGUAGGGGCAGGUCCCCAAUGAGAUGCACCUGUGUGGCAACCAUUGACCUGUUAUCUGCUCUCCAAGUAGCCCAGUUUUAGGAUUUAUUCCUGUGAAAUGGCCCUUUCAAAAAUGGUGAGCAACACAAUUCUCUGAUUCCACAGGUGCCCAAAGUGCUUGUGUGAGCACAGGCCAAGGGCACCGUAAAAUCUGGUGGGUGUACAAAAGAGGGUGACUAGAAAGAUGGGACUUUUAUAUUUAUAUUUAAGUUAUUUUUGUACACCUUUCAGAGAACAGACUUUGAUGCCAGCAGAGCUCAGUUAUUUUUGUACUGCUCUCUCCAGUGUUUGUUUCAAUAAAAUUCCCCUGGUUUCUUGUCA